rnacentral:ribozyme from 1 species
AAAAAAGAACACGGGGACCGGAUUUGGUGGGUGACAGUGUGAAUUUGGUUGUUCAUUUAUUUUGUCCAUGUUAUUUUUUUCUUUUUGUUCAUUUCGAUGUUUUUA